rnacentral:rRNA from 1 species
CAGUAGCCGCGGGAAUACGUAGGUGGCAAGCGUUGUCCGGAAUUAUUGGGCGUAAAGGGCUCGCAGGCGGUUUCUUAAGUCUGAUGUGAAAGCCCCCGGCUCAACCGGGGAGGGUCAUUGGAAACUGGGAAACUUGAGUGCAGAAGAGGAGAGUGGAAUUCCACGUGUAGCGGUGAAAUGCGUAGAGAUGUGGAGGAACUCCAGUGGCGAAGGCGACUCUCUGGUCUGUAACUGACGCUGAGGAGCGAGAGCGUGGGGAGCGAACAGGAUUAGAGACCCCUGUAGUCCCUGUCUCUUAUAC